UAGGGAAUCUUGCCACAAUGGACGCAAGUCUGAUGGAGCAACGCCGCGUGAGUGAAGAAGGCUUUCGGGUCGUAAAACUCUGUUAUUGAAGAAGAACGUGUGUGACAGUAACUGGUCAUGCAGUGACGGUAUUCAAUCAGAAAGUCACGGCUAACUACGUGCCAGCAGCCGCGGUAAUACGUAGGUGGCAAGCGUUGUCCGGAUUUAUUGGGCGUA
rnacentral:rRNA from 1 species